GUGGGGAAUUUUGGACAAUGGGCGCAAGCCUGAUCCAGCAAUGCCGCAUGCAGGAAGAAGGCCUUCGGGUUGUAAACUGCUUUUGUACGGAACGAAACGGUCCGGGUUAAUACCCUGGGCUAAUGACGGUACCGUAAGAAUAAGCACCGGCUAACUACGUGCCAGCAGCCGCGGUAAUACGUAGGGUGCAAGCGUUAAUCGGAAUUACUGGGCGUAAAGCGUGCGCAGGCGGUUUUGUAAGACAGGCGUGAAAUCCCCGGGCUCAACCUGGGAAUUGCGCUUGUGACUGCAAGGCUGGAGUGCGGCAGAGGGGGAUGGAAUUCCGCGUGUAGCAGUGAAAUGCGUAGAUAUGCGGAGGAACACCGAUGGCGAAGGCAAUCCCCUGGGCCUGCACUGACGCUCAUGCACGAAAGCGUGGGGAGCAAACAGGAUUAGAAACCCUUGUAGUCC
rnacentral:rRNA from 1 species